rnacentral:rRNA from 1 species
UACGUAGGGUGCAAGCGUUAAUCGGAAUUACUGGGCGUAAAGCGUGCGCAGGCGGUUUUUUAAGCCAGAUGGGAAAUCCCCGAGCUUAACUUGGGAACUGCAUUUGGGACUGGAAGGCUAGAGUAUGGCAGAGGGGGGUGGAAUUCCACGUGUAGCAGUGAAAUGCGUAGAGAUGUGGAGGAACACCGAUGGCGAAGGCAGCCCCCUGGGCCUAUACUGACGCUCAUGCACGAAAGCGUGGGGAGCAAACAGG